UACGAAGGGGGCGAGCGUUGUUCGGAAUUACUGGGCGUAAAGGGCUCGUAGGUGGCCAACUAAGUCAGACGUGAAAUCCCUCAGCUUAACUGGGGAACUGCGUCUGAUACUGGAUGGCUUGAGUUUGGGAGAGGGAUGCGGAAUUCCAGGUGUAGCGGUGAAAUGCGUAGAUAUCUGGAGGAACACCGGUGGCGAAGGCGGCAUCCUGGACCAAUACUGACACUGAGGAGCGAAAGCCAGGGGAGCAAACGGG
rnacentral:rRNA from 1 species